rnacentral:rRNA from 1 species
GACGAACGCUGGCGGCGUGCUUAACACAUGCAAGUCGAACGGUAAGGCCCUUCGGGGUACACGAGUGGCGAACGGGUGAGUAACACGUGGGUGAUCUGCCCUGCACUCCGGGAUAAGCCUGGGAAACUGGGUCUAAUACCGGAUAGGACUCCGGACUGCAUGGUCUGGGGUGGAAAGCUUUUGCGGUGUGGGAUGGGCCCGCGGCCUAUCAGCUUGUUGGUGGGGUGAUGGCCUACCAAGGCGACGACGGGUAGCCGGCCUGAGAGGGUGACCGGCCACACUGGGACUGAGAUACGGCACAGACUCCUACGGGAGGCAGGAGUGGGGAAUAUUGCCCAAUGGGCGCAAGCCUGAUGCAGCGACGCCGCGUGAGGGAUGACGGCCUUCGGGUUGUAAACCUCUUUCAGCAUCGACGAAGCGAAAGUGACGGUAGGUGCAGAAGAAGGACCGGCCAACUACGUGCCAGCCGCCGCCGUAA